GGAUGUGAGGGUGAUCUGGCUGCAACAUCUGUCACCCCACUGAUCGCCAGGAUUGAUUCGGCUGAUCUGGCUGGCUAGGCAGGUAUCCCCUCCCUCCCUCAAUGCUCCAUGUGUGUCCCUCCCAGAGCUGCAAACUCGGUCAAAGAGGAUGACCACCCCCGAUAGAGGAGAACCAUUUCUCAGUCAAGGGUAUACAAGUAGCUGUGCUCCCCUGCUAGAGCCACUUUUGUCUUAAAGAUUUUAUAAUUCCCCCUUUGAUUUCUUCUUCAACCCACUGGUUAUGUUGUUUGAA
rnacentral:snRNA from 1 species